AACCUCCCCAAGUAAGGACCUAUUAGCCUCAAGAAUAUGGACUAAACUAACAAGAAUUGGCACUGUCAUAGCAACAGUGCACUGAAAUAUAUUCAAAAUGGGAUCACUGGGAACCGGACCAAACAAGUAAUACGCGUCUUUCUUCCCGUCUACUUCACAAGUGAAUAAGUUUUCAGCCUUAAUUGGCAUGAUGGAAUCGUUGCAACCAUAAAACAGAGAAAGCACUUCAUUGUUGGAGCCCAGACUGAAGUGGGUGCCAUUGAAAGUGGUAUUAGCUGAUUGCUGAGUGCAUGUAGAA
rnacentral:misc_RNA from 1 species